UCAGUGGGAGGUAACUGAAUCAUGGGGGCGGGUUUUUCGUAUGCUCUUCUCGUGAUAGUAAGUCUCACGAGUUCGUUAUAAAAGGCAGUUCCCCUGCACAUGCUCUCUUGCCUGCUGUCAUGCAACGUGUCUUUGCUCCUCCUUCACCUUCCGCCAUGAUUGUGAGGCUUCCCCAGCCAUGUGGAAACAUAUUCGCAGAGCACCCACUAGGUGCCAGUAAAUGUAUGAGAAGUCCUGUGGAAUAAGACUGAAGUUGUCCUUGCCUUCAAGCAACUUGCAAUUGCCUAAGAACACAGUUUAAAACCACAAAACUAAGCCUUGGAAAUCACAUGCUGUCAUUUCUGCGAUCGGUCAUAACCAGUCCUGAUUCCAUGUUAGAGGAGACUACAUAAGGACACAGGUACCAGAAGAUGAAAAAUUUGGAGUCUAGUGAAAAGAAGUGACUUGCUCAAAAUCACACAGCACAUGAAGAACAGAGCCUCUAUGAUGAAUUUCUUGACAGCUGAUAUAAGUCUUUUGAGGUACAGCCUGGCACAAAAAGGAUGAGAUUUGUGGGCAGAAUUUUGGAAGAAUAUCUCCCGAGAGAACAUUCAGGACAGAUUGCACUGCUUUGGAGAGCUGGUGAUGAAAUCCGGCCAUUGAAUUACACUGCACUAUAAACUUCAUUUGUUCUUGGGUGCAUAGUGAUUUGCUAUAAUAAUGAUCAUCCAUUUGCCAGACAGCUGAGAUUUUUUAAAAGCUUGAUUGCUUUUGGCAUGGCAUUAUUAGUCCUGGAAGAAGGCAGCACAUUUGUAGCAAUUCUCAGCUUGAGCAAACUAGAAUAUUCACCUCCCACAAAUGCUGGCCAUUUAAGAUCUGUGUGUUAGACUUUGGCAUUUUUUCUAGCAAUUCUACAACAGCAUACACACUUUUAUUUUUCAUUAACACCAUUGUGAAUAUGCCCAUCUCUAAAAUUUCAAGGGGGUUCACUUAAGCUACUGAGUUUUAUGGACAGAAGGGCCAAGAAAAGUCCCCAAAGAAGAGUGCAUGCUGUCAAUUGCCAAUUAUUUUUUUUUCUAAUGAAAGCCAAACAAUUCCAGACAAACCCUUUUCUAAGAAAUGAACUACAUAUCUGGAUCCAAAUAAAUACUCAUCUGAUAAGAAUCUAAAAGCUCUACUGAAUUACAGUGGAUGAGAACAUGAUGAUGGUGAUUCUUUGAAGAUUACUGAGGAAAUCAACUCUCAUGUCUGAUUCUGAUACUUUUAUAGUCCAUCCAUGUUGAAAAUGUCUAUGGAAUGAUUCUGUUGUACCUUGAGAAAUGAAAUUCAUAGGCAUGGAUUCUCUCACACAGCAACUUUAUACACAAAGAUGAGAAUAGAAGAAAGGUCAUUUCCAAAGAAAGUGACAUUUAUUCUGUAUUCACUGAAAAGCCAAAAGAAUUUUCUCAUUCACCCAUACCGACAGAGCCCUACAUCUCCCCGAGAAGAGGUGAAAGAGACUGCUCCUAUCUGCUUCUGCAUCAAACUUCAGGCUCAAGACCUGUCCAGAAAAAAAAAUGUCUUCUUUCAGGGAUGAACUGCUGUCCUCAUCAGACGCCUUAUUUUGUUUAGAAUUCAAGCUCACUUGACAGGUAUUCUAUACUUUUUUCAAUACAACUAAGCUAAUGCCCACCUCCUUUCUGAAUUGAUUUCAUCCCAGUAUUACCCUUCAUAGCUUUCUCUUAUAGAGUAAGACAAUAGCUGAACAGAUUUACAUAUACAUGUGUAAGUAUCUAGAUUGUAUACAGGUGUGUGUCUAAUAUAUGAUACAUGGAAUAUAGGUACACAUAUGUAUGUGUGUAUGUGUUUAUGUAUGUAUAUCACGAAAAGUUACAAUAGUUUCAAAAGGAACAUAGGCAGGCAUCAAUUACUGAGGUUAUUGGAGGCCACAACCAAAGUCAAAUCAACGUAUCCUUCCCAAACCUCAUAUUAGCCAACAACACCAUAAUAUCUUUUCCCAAAGUCCUUGCUAACCAGACUGCCAGAACGGAGUUUGAAAUAGCAAAUGUGGCAGAGAAAUCAAGCAGUUUUUAAGCAGUGGCUUUACAUAAAUUUGAAUCACAGUUCCAUCCAUUCCCAGGGUCCUACUGAGGGCAAGGAGUGCAGGUGCUGUAGCAGAGAAAGGGAGAAUACUGGUAGGAUGGAAAGGUUUUCUGGCUUUCUUGCUUGCCUUAAGUCAGAGCUUUGUGGCCUCCAUCACACAUAAUGAAUAAUUAAGAGUUUAUUGUCUUUUGCUCAGUUGAAACUGAUUGUGUUGGAAGAUUGCAUUGCAGAAUGGUUAAUGACACAGAUUUUGAAGAUAAAUCAUGGCUAUGCCACCUACUAGUUUUGGAAUCUUGAGUAAAGUCCUUAGCCUGUUCGUGCUUCUGAAUCUUCACAUGCAAAAUAAAUUUCAUUUAUUUUAGGUUAUUGUGAAGAUUAAAUGAAUUAAUACAUGUGAAGCAACUGUAACAACUCUUGACAUGCGGUAAGCACUGUAAAUUGUGAACCAUUUAGGAAUGCCCCAUUGGAGAUAAUUUAGGUCACUCAGAAAUUGUAAAUUUUGAAAGGUGAAAGACCGUGUUGUUCAAGUUAGGGCUGAACUGGAACUGUAAAUCUGAUGGUUGAAUAAUAAACAGAGUAAUUA
rnacentral:lncRNA from 1 species